AUUGAACGCUGGCGGCAUGCCUUACACAUGCAAGUCGAACGGCAGCGCGGACUUCGGUCUGGCGGCGAGUGGCGAACGGGUGAGUAAUACAUCGGAACGUACCCUGUUGUGGGGGAUAACUAGUCGAAAGAUUAGCUAAUACCGCGUACGACCUGAGGGUGAAAGUGGGGGACCGCAAGGCCUCACGCAGCAGGAGCGGCCGAUGUCUGAUUAGCUAGUUGGUGGGGUAAAGGCCCACCAAGGCGACGAUCAGUAGCUGGUCUGAGAGGACGAUCAGCCACACUGGGACUGAGACACGGCCCAGACUCCUACGGGAGGCAGCAGUGGGGAACUUUGGACAAUGGGGGCAACCCUGAUCCAGCAAUGCCGCGUGUGUGAAGAAGGCCUUCGGGUUGUAGAGCACUUUUGUCCGGAAAGAAAUCGCGCUGGUUAAUACCUGGCGUGGAUGACGGUACCGGAAGAAUAAGCACCGGCUAACUACGUGCCAGUCGCCGCAGUAA
rnacentral:rRNA from 1 species